rnacentral:tRNA from 1 species
GGAUGCAUGGCAUAGUGGUUUGAGUGUUGGACUACAACUCUGGAGACCAGGGUCCGAUUCCCAGCACGGCCG